rnacentral:rRNA from 1 species
UACGAAGGGGGCUAGCGUUGCUCGGAAUCACUGGGCGUAAAGCGCACGUAGGCGGAUUGUUAAGUCAGGGGUGAAAUCCUGGAGCUCAACUCCAGAACUGCCUUUGAUACUGGCGAUCUCGAGUCCGGGAGAGGUGAGUGGAACUGCGAGUGUAGAGGUGAAAUUCGUAGAUAUUCGCAAGAACACCAGUGGCGAAGGCGGCUCACUGGCCCGGUACUGACGCUGAGGUGCGAAAGCGUGGGGAGCGAACAGGG